GACGAACGCUGGCGGCGUGCUUAACACAUGCAAGUCGAACGAAGAGCGAUGGAAGCUUGCUUCUAUCAAUCUUAGUGGCGAACGGGUGAGUAACGCGUAAUCAACCUGCCCUUCAGAGGGGGACAACAGUUGGAAACGACUGCUAAUACCGCCUACGAUCUAAACUCGGCAUCGAGGAUAGAUGAAAGGUGGCCUCUACAUGUAAGCUAUCACUGAAGGAGGGGAUUGCGUCUGAUUAGCUAGUUGGAGGGGUAACGGCCCACCAAGGCGAUGAUCAGUAGCCGGUCUGAGAGGAUGAACGGCCACAUUGGGACUGAGACACGGCCCAGACUCCUACGGGAGGCAGCAGUGGGGAAUCUUCCGCAAUGGACGAAAGUCUGACGGAGCAACGCCGCGUGAGUGAUGACGGCCUUCGGGUUGUAAAGCUCUGUUAAUCGGGACGAAAGGCCUUCUUGCGAAUAGUGAGAAGGAUUGACGGUACCGGAAUAGAAAGCCACGGCUAACUACGCG
rnacentral:rRNA from 1 species